CAGAGGCAAAAGAAAAAGGAAUACAGCAAUCGAAGUCAAGGCAGAUGGCCCAAGAAGCUGCCAGGAGAGAAAACAAAAGAGGAAGAACUUCUGGAACUAGAUUAGGGCUGAAAGCGAUCCAGAAGCACGCUGGCAAUUCAAAUAAUUUCUGUUGCUUCCCAUCUGUUCUUCGAUGUGUUAAGGAGGACAUCUUGUGGCUGGCACAACCCAAGCAACAAUUUCUUCAGAGGAGUCCUCUUUCCUCACUGGCCAUAAGUCAUCCACCUUCAAGGACUGCUGACAGCCUUUCCAGACGAGCCUGGAAAACACACAGACUGCUGUAAGAGAACCACCAGUAUGUGAUUUUGGAAAGAAAAGAGGACUGUUGACAGCUUUAGAGAAGAAGGGAGGGUGAUCAACUAAGCAGAAUAACACAAGUUCUCCUAGCACCAGGCUAACAUACAG